rnacentral:rRNA from 1 species
GAUGAACGCUGGCGGCGUGCCUAAUACAUGCAAGUCGAGCGAAUGGAUUAAGAGCUUGCUCUUAUGAAGUUAGCGGCGGACGGGUGAGUAACACGUGGGUAACCUGCCCAUAAGACUGGGAUAACUCCGGGAAACCGGUGCUAAUACCGGAUAACAUUUUGAACCGCAUGGUUCGAAAUUGAAAGGUGGCUUCGGCUGUCACUUAUGGAUUGACCGGCGUCGCAUUAGCUAGUUGGUGAGGUAACGGCUCACAAAGGCAACGAUGCGUAGCCGACCUGAGAGGGUGAUCGGCCACACUGGGACUGGGACACGGCCCAGACUCCUACGGGAGGCAGCAGUAGGGAAUCUUCCGCAAUGGACGAAAGUCUGACGGAGCAACGCCGCGUGAGUGAUGAAGGCUUUCGGGUCGUAAAACUCUGUUGUUAGGGAAGAACAAGUGCUAGUUGAAUAAGCUGGCACCUUGACGGUACCUAACCAGAAAGCCACGGCUAACUACGUGCCAGCCGCCGCAGUAA